rnacentral:rRNA from 1 species
AACGUAGGUGGCAAGCGUUAUCCGGAAUUACUGGGCGUAAAGGGUGUGCAGGCGGUGUGGCAAGUGGUGUAUGAAAUAUCCCAGCUUAACUGGGAGGGGUUAUGCCAGACUGCUACUCUAGAGGACGAGAGAGGGGCGUGGAAUUCCGGGUGUAGUGGUGAAAUGCGUAGAGAUCCGGAGGAACCCCAGAGGCGAAGGCGACGCCCUGGCUCGUACCUGACGCUCAGCCACGAAAGCAUGGGGAGCGAACGGG